rnacentral:misc_RNA from 1 species
GUUAUAAAUGAACUUUGUAAUUUAAGAAUUGUAUUUGAUGUAUUUAAAGUCAUUGUAUUCUGCCCAAAGUGACUAUAAAAUGAAGUGAUAAAUGGUUGUGGUAUGAUACAAAUGCAGAAUUUGGUUUGGGAAUGAAGUAUGGUUAGUUGAAUGUGUGAAUGGUUAAGGCUUCAAAAAUGUGUUAAGGGCAGUAUGUAUUUUAGGCUAUAAAUGGAAUUGUGUGACUCCAAU